rnacentral:rRNA from 1 species
UACGUAGGGUCCAAGCGUUGUCCGGAUUUAUUGGGCGUAAAGAGCUCGUAGGCGGCCCUCCACGUCGGAUGUGAAAGCUCAGGGCUCAACCCUGAGAUGCCAUUCGAUACGGGAAGGCUAGAGGUAGGUAGGGGAAAGUGGAAUUCCUGGUGUAGCGGUGAAAUGCGCAGAUAUCAGGAGGAACACCGGUGGCGAAGGCGGCUUUCUGGGCCUUACCUGACGCUGAGGAGCGAAAGCUGGGGGAGCGAACAGG